rnacentral:rRNA from 1 species
UACGUAGGGGGCAAGCGUUGUCCGGAAUCACUGGGCGUAAAGCGCGUGUAGGCGGCUCGAUAAGUCUGCUGUGAAAGUUCAGGGCUCAACCCUGAAAUGCCGGUGGAAACUGUCGAGCUAGAGUCCGGAAGAGGCGAGUGGAAUUCCUGGUGUAGCGGUGAAAUGCGCAGAUAUCAGGAAGAACACCCGUGGCUAAGGCGGCUCUCUAGUACGGUACUGACGCUGAGACGCGAAAGCGUGGGGAGCGAACAGG